CCCAUGGGGAGCGGGUUAUAUCACAUGCGAGUCGAGCGGAUGAAGGAGCUUGCUCCUGGAUUCAGCGGCGGACGGGUGAGUAAUGCCUAGGAAUCUGCCUGGUAGUGGGGGACAACGUUUCGAAAGGAACGCUAAUACCGCAUACGUCCUACGGGAGAAAGCAGGGGACCUUCGGGCCUUGCGCUAUCAGAUGAGCCUAGGUCGGAUUAGCUAGUUGGUGAGGUAAUGGCUCACCAAGGCGACGAUCCGUAACUGGUCUGAGAGGAUGAUCAGUCACACUGGAACUGAGACACGGUCCAGACUCCUACGGGAGGCAGCAGUGGGGAAUAUUGGACAAUGGGCGAAAGCCUGAUCCAGCCAUGCCGCGUGUGUGAAGAAGGUCUUCGGAUUGUAAAGCACUUUAAGUUGGGAGGAAGGGCAGUAAAUUAAUACUCUGCUGUUUUGACGUUACCGACAGAAUAAGCACCGGCUAACUCUGUGCCAGCAGCCGCGGUAAUACAGAGGGUGCAAGCGUUAAUCGGAAUUACUGGGCGUAAAGCGCGCGUAGGUGGUUUGUUAAGUUGGAUGUGAAAUCCCCGGGCUCAACCUGUGAACUGCAUCCAAAACUGGCGAGCUAGAGUAUGGUAGAGGGUGCUGGAAUUUCCUGUGUAGCGGUGAAAUGCGUAGAUAUAGGAAGGAACACCAGUGCGAAGGCGACCACCUGCACUGAUACUGACACUGAGGUGCGAAAGCGUGGGGAGUAAACAGGAUUAGAUACCCUGGCAGUC
rnacentral:rRNA from 1 species